rnacentral:lncRNA from 1 species
AUCUUCAUGUAGCUCUUUCGGUAACCCUGCUUUUUGGGUUCUCCCUUUAUUCAGGCUUCGCGAGCUUGGUGUCUUCUUCUUCUUUUUCGCCUUUCAGAAGCAAAAGUUGGGUUCAGCGAUAUCGAUGGCUACAUAUAAACUUCUUGUCAUAGUUGAAGUAUAGUCCAUGCGUUUGCUAUCUCUACAUUUCGUUCCACGAGAGCUGCUUGGUGGCAGUGGAAUGAGCAGUUAUGGUUUAUGACGCUGGAGUUGCUAAUACUUA